rnacentral:rRNA from 1 species
CCUACGGGAGGCAGCAGUGAGGAAUAUUGGUCAAUGGACGAGAGUCUGAACCAGCCAAGUAGCGUGAAGGAUGACUGCCCUAUGGGUUGUAAACUUCUUUUAUAUGGGAAUAAAAUGUUCCACGUGUGGGAUUUUGUAUGUACCAUAUGAAUAAGGAUCGGCUAACUCCGUGCCAGCAGCCGCGGUAAUACGGAGGAUCCGAGCGUUAUCCGGAUUUAUUGGGUUUAAAGGGAGCGUAGGUGGGUUGUUAAGUCAGUUGUGAAAGUUUGCGGCUCAACCGUAAAAUUGCAGUUGAGACUGGCAGUCGUGAGUACAGUAGAGGUGGGCGGAAUUCGUGGUGUAGCGGUGAAAUGCUUAGAUAUCACGAAGAACUCCGAUUGCGAAGGCAGCUCACUGGACUGCAACUGACAUUGAGGCUCGAAAGUGUGGGUAUCAAACAGGAUUAGAUACCCCUGUAGUC